AUAUACUGAUUAAGGUCAUGAGGUAUUGGAACGACCAUGGUUUUAACAACCCAGCCUUGCCAGAUUGCAAGGCAAUCAGGGGUGCAGUGUCACGUGAAACCACCAUCAAGAACACUGGGAAGCGGAAAGGAGAGUGGGAGGUACAAGGAAGUACCAAAGGUUAAAUACAUAAAAAAAUGUCUUUGAGAGCUAAAGCAUUCAACAGGCUUUUCUUUGAUCUUUACCAAAAUUUCCAAAGAAAUCCAAAAGGAAUUCCAUCGCAGACAAGAGUUGUCCAUCAAGAUUAGUAUUUCCUUUGUUAAUCUUUGUGAAUCUGGCUUUAUUUGCUUUUUUAGCCAGAGAAUUCAUAUGUAAGCUACUGGGAAUGAUGGAAUUGCUUCACUGUGAAUGUAAAUAUCCUUAGGACAGUUUCUAAGUAUGGGUUGAUUUAUGUAAUUGAACCCAUUAGAAUAUCAAUCACAUAUUUUCAUCUUUACCUGAUUCAUCCCAACAAUCAUUGUUUCUUGUGUCACACACCUUGUCCACAUAUGUCCAAGUCUCCUGGUUGGGAUACUUGAAUAUCCAGUUUUGAGGGGGAUGGCUGGGCAUAUGGCCCAUAUUAAACAAAGGCAUGAUUUCUAAUAGAAAUCACUCAUGCAUGGUAAGGUUUUAAUUAUAAUUCUAAAUUUUAGUGAUUAGUUGCUGGUGCCUAUUCUUCCAUUUUGAUUAUUUGUCCACCUCACCACAGUGGGCAGCAGAUUCAUCUUCGCCAUGGCUGCAGUCCAGCUUCCUGCUACAAAGCAGGGAGGGUGGCGAGCAAGUCCUGAGGUCCGCACACGAGAAGCCAUGGUGCUGCGAAGCUGUUUCGCACUGUCGACAUGGCCAGUCUGGAAGAUGUAUAAGACAAGCACUGGAUGUUAACAUAUGCAUCUACGACCUUGAACGUCAAGCUUUUAAUAAUAUAACAAUCUGCUUCCUCCUCUCCGCUCCUGCUUCUUUCCAUUGUUCUUUCCCCUGUUAUUUCUUCUCCUUUUCUUUCUUUUUCUCCUCAUUUUCCAAAACUCGCUAGGCCUACUUAGCUUGUAUGUCUUGCAACACUACUGGCAUUUUGGGCAAACAAGUGUGAACUCCCUCCUGCCCAAGAAGGAAUUGAAGGUGCCUGGGAGGGGUAGUCAACACGCCCGGCCCUGGUGUGUGCUUUGCUGUGGAUUGAUUGGUUUCAUGAUUUUCUUAGCUAGAGAUAGGAACAAAGAUAACAGAAAACUACUUACAGUCUUCAUCUUCUCUUUUAAAUACAAAAAUCAAUAGCAGGCCUCAUCAGAUAGGUUUAAUGGUUUGUGUUCCUCGGUAUUUCAGCCUGGAAAAUGCUGAGGUUUAGUCCUCUGUUUGGUCCUGUCUUAAGCAUGUUCAGAACACAAGCGUGGGAGGUCUGGCUCCUUCACUGUUUACUGGCUGAGCAAGUCUCAUGCCUCCUUGGAUUUUGGUUUCCUUGGUUCUCAAGUGGAAUGGACUUGGUUGUCAACUCCAAGGGACUCCUGGGUGAACCAAACGAGGUAACUAUUUGGGUACCUAUUAAAAGCUUUAUACCAAUGUCUGAUGAGAAUCACUGAUAAAAAUACUUGGAGGGUGUUUUGACAAGUGCUGCAGUAGUGGAAACAAAUCUUUUCAUUUUUGUUUUUAAUUUUAAAAUAAUUGGGAACAAAAUCAAAUAAUUGGAUCUAAGUCUGUGUAGUACAAAGAGUUUAGCCUAUUUUUAGGGUUCAAACGUGAUGACAAAUUGCUAUCAUAUGGGACUGCCAUUAAGCCACUGGUGAUGAUGCUAAAGUCCCGUUCAGUGAGUAGACACAAGUUUGGUGCACAGGUUGCUGGGAAGUCAACCCCAAUAGCAGCCUCAACUUUCUCCAAGCAGCACAUUUACCUGGCAAGUGGGUGGGGACCUUCUGAGCUGGAGCAUGAACCCCUCUCAGACCUUUUGCAGCCCAACCCUUAGGACCCAGAUUGUCUCCAAAAUGAGCCUCCUUGAGAUUGAGGGGAAGCCUGUAUGUUGGGGACUCCGUGGGGAGAGGGCCCGUCUCCCCAUAGCUAGUGAAACCAGAGGCUUUCCUGAACUCUUCUGUGGGUUGGUCACCUGGGAAUCCCUGUCUCCUUGUCCUCUCAAAGGACAUGAUAUGAAAUAAUCCCUGCCAGGGAUUAUAAGCAUGCGUGAUCCUGGACCUCGAGGUCCUGUGGCUUGUGGGAAAUCUGUUGAGGUCACCAUCAUGGAAAGUCAUCUUCAGCAGGAAUGAAGAUUACUGCUGGCUCCUAUUACUAUAGACCAACUCUGCUAAACAGAAAAGGAAUGGACUGAAAAGCUGGCCUGUGGUUCAGGAAUACCAGGGGCCUUGAGAAGCAGGCUGGACGAAGGCCAGGAACGAGGAAUGCCAGGCAGCUGUGGGGCCACAGCCCCACCUUGCCAGUGAGAUGUGGCCGUCACAUGCAGUACAGCAUCUACUGCUCCCGGGAACCGAACCUUGCUGUGGUUGCCGCCGUCACUGCGGUGGACUCUACCAUUCUCACUGCUGUGGGUCAGUAGCUGCCAAUUCAAACAGCUGGGCUGGGAGCAUCUGAUCGGUUAAACCUCCAUCACACACUUGCACUUUAACUGCAAAGGAGGCUGGAAGGGGGCUGGGUAAAGGGGAAACUAGGAAAUAAAGCACCUGGAUAACCUCUUUGAUGGGCAAAUACAUUAACUUGCUUGUUAAUAAGUAGAUUUUAUUUUAUAGCUGAAAACACCCUAACAGGCACAAGAGUAUACAUUACUUUUAUAUUCAGAAAAGUGAUAAUUUUUUUUAAAUGCCAAGUUAUUGGGGAUUCUGACCUUGGCUUCCUGAAGCCACAAAAAUAAUUUUCUUCCUCAAAUCCAUUCCUUUGAUAUUUACUUUUGUUAUCUAUUCAUUGACAUUCACUUGGUUAUCUAUUGCCUCAUAUUACUUGUGGUUACGUAAUUUGUACUGUCUUCUCUCCCCGACAAGACCAUGUGGCACAGUGGCCAUGACUCCAGCAUUUGCACAAACCUUGACAUUUGCGCUAGGCUUUCUCCUAAGACCACAGUGGUUGAUACAUUUAAUUUCUUCCCAAGCAGGAGGCUGUGCAAACUGACCAAGUACACAAGGCUCUCUUGGGAGGGCCCUCUGACGUCUCAUCAAAUAGGCAAGGCAACAUCAUCUUCUAAAGAAAAGUCUACAAUGUCUAAGAGACUGGUUUACUCUUGGGAAAGGCAGUGAGUCCAAACCCUGGCACAGUUGGGUGAGUGGGCUCUUCCUUCAAAUUGGACAGCCUGAAGCGCUGAGGGACCUGAGACAGGGACACACACAAGUGACCUUGCUCUGGUUGACAGUGUCCUUGGUAGCAGGGCGAACACCAGGACAGCCAAGUAAGAGGAGAGAGGAAAGUUUCUCUAACAGACAUGCAUUAUGGGUGGGUUACCUGGCUCUGUGGGUGAACUCUGGGAGCUGGCAUGAGUUCUGCCCAGUCAACACCUGGCCCCCAAAGGAAAUCCUAGAGCAAAGGAAUAACAAGAAACCUCUUUGGCAUUGCUCGGAUUGGCUUAUAGAACAAUAGUUUAUAUGACUCAAAUGUUCCCACAAACCCCAGAAAAUAAAGAAACUGAACCUCUAAUGUUUUGAGUCUGCUAGACAUUUAAGAAAAAAAAACUAUUCUUAUUGAACUUAGUUAGCUCAGAAACAUUUUAAGAAUCAAAGUUUACCUAAUGAAGGUGAGUCCUCGAUCAAAUUAUCUUGGUUUAAUAAUCUUGAUUUCAAGAAAUAAUAUUUAUAUGUCUUUACCUUGAGUUUAUCAAUAUGGAGUAUGAUACAAGCAUAGAUUAAACUUUACAAAAUAAGGUUUGGGUUUGAAUCUUAGGAAAAGACUAGUUAAUCUGAAUUUCCUAACCUUUUUAUAUUAGUUUACUGAUCAAAUAAGAUAAAAUACCACUAACUAAUGUUUAAGAUUAUAAAAGUAUAAACUUGUAUCCAACCAAAUUAAGUCAUAAAUUUGACAAACUUAUAUCACCAGUACUUGUGUUAGCUUAAACAUAAUUUCCAAGAUCCUUAAGCAACUUAAAAUUUGGAUUAAUAAAUUGUUAUUAAUGCAUAAUUAUUGGAUACCUACAAGUAAUUUCCAAGUAAUAUGGAAUAUUGAAACAUUGGUUAUUAAGCAUUUUUAGGUUUAUAUACUUUUGCUUCUUAUUUUUAUUCGCUAUAGAUUGGCUAUAUCUUUGGGACAUUAGUAAAUGUGUUCAUUUUUACCACUUUAAGAAAGUACAAAAGGCUUUCAUGUAGCUGUAGAAAGUUGUAUAUUCAUGAGCUUUCCUACCCUGCUAAAAUGCUUCUAUAUGACAGAUAAUUCUCAAUUAUCUAUUAAUUUGGUUAAAAGUUGUAAUUAACACAGCUGAUUGAAACUGUACUAGAAUCAGUAAUGGCAGAGAAAUGCAACUGUGGAUGUUCUUUUUCAAGAAAAAAGGCGAUAGUUUUUACCUAAAUUAGUGCCAAUUUGUUCCAGAAUAUAAAAGAGUAAAGGAAAGAUAAAACUUGGGUGUAGAUAACAAAUUGAAAAGGACAUGAAGGAAGAGAACUUUAUUUCUCUUGGCUUAUCACACCUCAGUCUCAAAGAAGCUAUAUAAAUAUUUUAUAUACAAUUUUUAUAUACAAGAUGAUUUAAAGGAAAAUAAAGGAGACCACAAAAUCUUUACUAACAAAUUUUACAAUAAUGCAAAGCUGCAAUUUUUGUUUUCUUGCUGUUAAAUGAUAAAUUGGCCUUAGGCAGUGGUUCUCUACCUUCUGGCCCUUUAAAAUACAGUUCCUUAUGUGGUGACCCAACCAUAAAAUUAUUUUCAUUGCUACUUCAUAACUGUCAUGUUGCUACUGUUAUGAAUUGUAAUGUAAAUAUCUGAUAUGCAGGAUGGUCUUAGGCGACCCCUGUGAAAAGGUCGUUCGACCGCCAAAGGGGUCGCGACCCACAGGUUGAGAACCGCUUCCUUAGAGCAUUUAACUGGUGGCAGUAAAGGUUAUUCUUUACCAUUCGUGUAAUCUGCCUGGAUAGUAGAAAUUCCAGGUCUCAACAGAAUAACUUCUCUGCAUUGUGUGAGUUCAUCUCUUUCUGGAGUAACAAUUUUGGUUUUAAAAAAUAAUAAUAAAAUGUCUUUACCUUGAAUGUGGGAUAAAACAUUUCGGUUAACGUGGGACGACGUAUACAAUGGUGGUCCUAUAAGAUUAUAAUGGAGCUGAGAAAUUCCUACUGCCCAGUGACCUCACAGCACAGCCAUGGUAAUGUCAGGACAUCGCAGUGCAAAGCAUUCCUCACCUGUUGUGGUCAUGCUGGUGUAAAUAAACCUGUCACACCGCCAGUCAUAUAAAAAUAUAGUUUAUACAAUUAUGUACCACUUGAUAAUGAUAAACAACUAUGUUACUGGUUUACAUAUUUAUACUACUACUAGAGGCCUGGUGCACGAAUUCGUGCAUGGUGGGGGUCCAUUGGCCUGGUAGGUAACCGAGGCCUAUUGGGGGCUGGCAGGCCAGGGGAAGGGACCCCAGGAGUUGGCUGGACGGU